GACGAACGCUGGCGGCGUGCUUAACACAUGCAAGUCGAACGGAAAGGCCCUGCUUUUGUGGGGUGCUCGAGUGGCGAACGGGUGAGUAACACGUGAGUAACCUGCCCUUGACUUUGGGAUAACUUCAGGAAACUGGGGCUAAUACCGGAUAGGAGCUCCUGCUGCAUGGUGGGGGUUGGAAAGUUUCGGCGGUUGGGGAUGGACUCGCGGCUUAUCAGCUUGUUGGUGAGGUAGUGGCUUACCAAGGCUUUGACGGAUAGCCCGCAUGGGAGGGUGACCAGGCACAAGAGGACUACGGGAGGCCGCAGUCGCGUACGUGAGGCAACGGGGGGGAGUCUGGCGGAGUGAGCCGGAGCCAGAGGCAGCAGUGUCGGGUGCGGAAAACUGGGUUACGAGGGGAGAAAAGCUGUCGCAGGAAAUGAGGCGAGAGUGACGGUAACUAAUAAAAAAGCACCGGCUAACUACGUG
rnacentral:rRNA from 1 species